rnacentral:lncRNA from 1 species
AAUAUUAUAUAUUCAGUCUAGUCACUUUUUCGAAACAAAAUAAAUCAUUAAAUAAAAUAUAUUCUCUUACCAAAUUAUAGAUAUAUCAAAACUUCUUAAGAAGCAAAAAUUGAACUCCUAUUUUUCAAUCACCAAAAAAAAAAAAAAAUCUUCAUAUCAACUAAAUUUUUAUUGAAUAUUUUAUUUUGAUAUCCAAAACCAAUAAUCAAACUA